AUUCUUGUGCUCCAGCUAUCUCGGUAGUCACUUACUGGAAAAUGGAUUACAGGUAAAAUAACUGCAUGUUUUUAGGACACUACUUGUCUCUCUUACCUUCAGUGAGUUGAUUAACGAAAUAAUUUAAAAACUUAUAUUCUCCAGGCAUUCUCUAAGGCAUGAACAUGAUUUUGAAGAAAUCCUUUACCAUCACACAUCACACAAGCCUGCCUGUGCUCCUCCAGAAACGUAGCCCUAGUACUCCUGGAAGCCCAUUUUGUUCCUUCAGGGAGUAUGCUUUCUUUGUGCAGAGAGGAGAAAAAUGCUGGAGACAGAGAUGUGGGGAGUAAGAGGAGGGACGGUAGUUAUGUUUUGGUACUUUAUUUAAGUACCCGAGUGGAUUAUACUAGAUGCUGCGAUUCAGAAACACAGGCUGUCUACAGGUGAGACACAAGUUUCACCUCCAGGGGUACACAGUUUAAUUGCAGCAAAAUGUUUUAAAGAAGGAAUGCUUCACUGUGGAAAAAGGAAACAAGUGGCUUGUUACCCAAAGAGCACAAGGAACCCCUCCACUGUUGAGUUGUUCACAUUUUCUUGGUUUAUGCUUCAGGUAGAGGUAAGUGAAGCUUCAAAUAAUAUUAUGCCCUAAAGCUUCAAACUGGAAGAAAAAAAAAAAGCCCUUGCACCCCUGAAAUAUGCAUGCAUGCCUGAGCAUGCACACACACACACACACACACACACACACACACACACUUUUACCUUGCUCUAAAUUUUUGCUCAUGUACUUAGUAAUAAAAUGUUAUUUUUAGAGUUCACAGCCCCAAUAUGGAAAUGUGUCUAGAGCUUGGAUCUAGAAGUUUAUGUCUUUCUUGAAGUUCCUGGGUCGUAAUAACCACAGUGAGGACAAAGGCACCAGAACAAUGCCAAACCAGGAGAUAUGGCCUGAAUUAGAAGGAAGACAAGUUUUUAUCAGGCAUAACAAUGAAAGAAGUUGAAACCAUGGAGUUAUUAUUAAGAGAAGUUGUGGAGUAGUUAUUCCUGGUAGCCUCUAAGUAGCAGUUGGUCCUAAAUCACAAAGGUGUGUAUUUUUCUAGAGAUUCCAGACAAGAUAAUUUUGAGGGCUCUUAUACUAUGAUUAUAAAAACCUAAUAACUAUGUUUUAAUGUAGUGCAUUGUGUUUUUACCACUUAAGAUGGCAGUGAUUUCAUCAGACAGCUUUCUUUUGGGGAGACUUCCAAACCAAUCUUUGGGGGAGAAUCUAAUCUCUUUUUUGCCAAGCUGGUGAGGUUUUCUUCCCCCACAUUGAAUGUUUAUAUGGAAAGAUAUGAACCAUAAACAUUUUUAUAUAAAAACUUAUUCUUUUUGCUUUUUAUUGGCUGCAUUGUAAGGAGUCAUUUGGCCUAGAGGGAAAGGAGGGUAACAUUCCCUAUGGCAAACUACAACGAAUCUUCCUUCUCCUUUCCCAACUCCAGCAGUAAUGAUGGAAAAUCAGUGCAGCAUCCUAGUGCAUUCGCAGUGUGGUUUGACAAAGACCAUAAUGUUCUUGUCAACAUAGGUAACAGAUCAAUGUCCAUCUGUAGAUUCCAGUACUUUUUCUUACUAAGAAGUGAUUAACAGCUGGAUGUAAUAUGUCUACUACAGCUACCUAGUUUUGUAAAGCAUAUAGUUAAUUAAAGGGCAGGAAUCAAAAACAUGAUCAACUCUGUAAAAGCCCUGAGCUUACUCAGCUGCUUCUUGCAAACUUCAACCUGUGGGGUAAAGAGACAUUUGUUGGGUCAUGGCAUGCUUGCCUCUGAAGAAGAUCAUUUCAAAGACUGGGCCUUUUUUUCUGGUAGCCUAGAUGCAGGACACAGAGUUGCUCAUUUUGCCAGAGUCUCUUUUUGCCUUGCCAAACUGACUUUUCUUUCAAAAAACUAUGUGGAAAAUUAAUGUGUAACUUUUCAAUGAUAAUAUUUUCUCUUUGUUUGGUUUUCCCCAAUGAUUUCAUAUCUAUACUAAACAUCCAUCCCAAAUAAGUUACACAGGAAGUGGAGGCCAAAGCUAAAACAAACUCACACCCAUUUCUCUGGCAACCUAUUUAAAAAAUAGCGAUUAAAAAUCAAAACAUUAAACAUAACCCUUUCUGGCGAGAUAACUCUCCCCUAGGUUACAUUAGAAAACACCCCCCUACGUUUACAUGGCAUCUUUGCUGUUUAUGAUCUUAGUUUUCAUUAUUGUGGCCUAACAAAAAUGUAUAAAGCUUAAAGACCAGCUGGAGCAACAUAGCAAGACCCGAGCUCUACAAAAAAUUUAAAGCAUUGGCUGGGCAUGGUGGCGCAUGCCUGUUAAUUACUAGGGAGGCUGAACUGGGAGGAUGGCUUGAGCAAUCCUCCUAUAACCAGGAGUUCAAGGUUACAAUGAGCUAUGAUCACAUCACUUCACUCAGGCCUAGGCAACAGAGCCCGACCUGUUUCUAAAAAAGAAAGAAAGAAAGAAAAAAAGGUUUACAGAUAUUUUGACACUGCAAAGAAAUCUCAUAAAUAUCUCAUAAAUUAUUAGUGACCUGCAGGAAAUGAAAGCUCAGCGUUGCUUCUUUUUUCACCGCUCCUGAUGGGGCUGAACAGUUUCUUUACACCCUUGAAUGCAGUCUGUCGUGGCAUGUGGGUGUACAUCCUUCUCUCUUAAGACAAGAUGUAAUAGUAACCCAUGAUCUUGUAAUCUCACAUAACAAGGCAUUUUGAUCUGCAGUCCUGGUUGUUUUCUUUAAGCUAAAUUUUAUUUUUUAUUAUUAUUUUUUUUUAGAGACAAGAUCUCACUAUGUUGCCCAGGCUGGUCCUGAACUGCUGGGCUCAAGUGAUCCUCCCACCUCGGCCUCCCAAAGUGCUGGGAUUACAGGUGUGAAGCACCGCGCCUGGCCCCUUUAAGCUGAAUUUUAAAGGAACUUAGAAUCUCAUUCUCUUACAUUUUUAUAACCAAGAAAUGAACCCUGACGGUAAAGACUAUUAAUAUACUAAUUAUUCCCAGCAUUAUACACUUCAUGUGAAAGGCAGAUGAAGAAAAUGAAGAACCUGUCUUCUGUUCAACUAAAAGGGAAAUUUAGCUUUACUUAGUUGUAUCUGUAAUUGUCCUUUUGUUUUUAAGAAUAUAAGAAUAUAAAGAAUAUAAAUAAUUGCAAUAAAACAACAUAAGAAGUUGACCAAUGGAACAAGAAUAGUAUAGCACUUAGUAAGAUGUACAGAUACUAUUUUAAGUACCUUGUUUUAAAGUUAAGUAAUGACAGCCUCCAGUUAAUAAACCAGAAAUAAACUCUAACCAUUAUUUCUUGGAUUUCAGAUAUUUUUUUCUUUAUAGAAAUAAUGUGAUGUAUAGUGUUCCUUUUACUGGGUCAGCCAACAAAAGUAUUUACGUUGAUAUAAAUAAAAUACUUUUUGUAAUCAAAUAUUCUAGCUCACAAUGAAAAAUAAUUUUAAAAUGUGAUUAUUUAGUACAAGUAAACAAACUUUAAAAAUACAACAACAAGAUUUUUAUUUUUCAUGAAAUAAACAACAGUGAGUAGAAGGAAAUUUUGAGGAUGUUCUUGAGAAGAACUUUUUGACACUUUAGAAAUUGAUAGACAAAGCACAACUUAGACUUUCCUUUCACUUGAUACUAAUAUGCCCCCAAUCCUGUUCUCCCAUCAUUAUAGUUAUUUUUAGGGGUCACAAAUGGAACAAACAUAAAGAAAGAAUGAGGGAUGACAGUGGAAAAAAUGGAGGUGGAAAAGAGAGGAAGAAAGGAGAAAAAGGAGGAAAAAGGUAGUAAAAAAUGUUCUUGAAACAGUUGGCAAUAGUUACAAAAGUGAGACGAAAAAGUGCACGGGUUAAAGAUGAUAAAAACAUUGCUUAAGGAAGAACCAAGCAACCUGAGAGUUCUGAAAAUAGGGGAAAUGGGGAAUGCUUGGAAUGUGUAUGAUCUCCCCAGAGGAAACAAUGUUGAGAAAGAAAGGAACUCGAUUCAUUCCCAAAGUGGGCCACUGGGUGACCAUGAAAGGCCAGCGCAGCCUGGUGCUCUCUUGACCAAGGGAAACGUGGGUUGGAGGAGUAACUUCAGGUAAAAUCAAGGUCUGUGGAGAUGGAGGGUCCAUGUGCUCGGAAGAUAUAUGUUCUAAAUGUAGCAACACAUGUUUUUUUUUUUUUAGAAACAACUUUAUUGACGUAUCAUUUAAAUACCUUUAAAUUCACCUGUUUUAAUUGUACAGUUCAAUGAUUUUUGGAUGUACUGUUGUGCAACCAUCACCACAAACCAGUUUUAGAACAUUUCUCUCACUCCAGUAAAAUCUCUCCUGCUUCAUUACACUUACUCUUUGUUCUCACUCCCAGUCCCAGGCAAUCACUAAUCUGCUUUCUCCAUAUAUAGAUUUUCUUUUUCUAGAUAUUUUAUAUAAAUAGAAUCAUGCAAUGUGUGGUCUUCUGUGUCUGUAUUCUUUCUCUUAGCAUGUUUUUGAUGCUAUCCAUGUUGUAGCAUGUGUCAAUAUUUAUUUUUAUUAUUAAAUGGCUUUCUAUUCUGCUUGAAGAUAAACACAUUUUGUUUUUCCAUUCACUAGCUGAUGGUCAUUUGAGUUAUUUCCACCUUUUGGCUAUUAUAAGUAAUUCUGCCAAGAACACUUGUGUGUUGAGGUCUUUGUGUGGACACCUACGUGCAUUUCAAGCAAAACGUAACUAAGAGAUCCACCUGCUCAUGGAAAAGACAAAUAUUUAGGCCUGUUGUGUUCUACAAUUCUAGGAUCCAAAACUUCACAUACACACUCUCCACAUGGCAACCAGAAUGGACUUUUUAAAACAGAAAAUCAGAUCACAUCUCACCUGAUUAAAAUUUCCCAGAGGUUUCCCAUCAUACUGAGAAUGAAGCCUACAUGCCUUUCCAUAGCCACAGGACUCUACCUCAUCUGACCUCAGCUGACAUGUUUCACUUUAUCUCGUAACCACUUCUCUUACUCUCAACUUCACUCAUAUUGAUCUUGUUGCUCCUCAAAUAUAAAAGCUUAUUCUGACCUCAGGGCUCAUACAUAGUCUGUUCCAUUUGCCUGGAAUACUUUUCCCUAAUAUUCAUUUGACUCAAUCCUUCUCAUCCAGGUCUCCCCUCAAAUGUCAUUCAUGUAGAGAAGCUUUUGAUGGCUGCCCUAUCUAAAACAGCAGCCAUAUCUCUCACAAUACUACCUUUGUUUUUCUUGAGACAGAGUUUCACUCUUGUCACCCAGGCUGGAGUGCAAUGGCGUGAUCUCAGCUCACUGCAACCUCCGCCUCCCAGGUUCAAGUGAUUCUCCUGCCUCAGCCUCCCAAGUAGCUGGAAUUACAGGCACCUGCCACUGAGAGACAGGACUAGCUGGAUUUCCUAGGCUGACUAAGAAUCCCUAAGCCUAGCUGGGAAGGUGACCGCUUCCACCUUUAAACACGGGGCUUGCAACUUAGCUCACACAUAACCAAUCAGAUAGUAAGGAGAGCUCACUAAAAUGCUAAUUAGGCAACAACAGGAGGUAAAGAAAUAGCCAAUCAUCUCUUGCCUGAGAGCACAGGGGAAGGGACAAUGCUCGGGAUAUAAACCCAGGCAUUCGAGCCGGCAACAGCAACCCCCUUUGGGUCCCCUCCCUUUGUAUGGGAGCCCUGUUUUCACUCUAUUAAAUCUUGCAACUGCACUCUUCUGGUCCGUGUUUGUUACAGCUCGAGCUGAGCUUUUGCUCGCCGUCCACCACUGCUGUUUGCCGCCGUUGCAGACCCACGACUGACUUCCAUCCCUCCAGAUCUGGCAGGGCACCUCCUGAUCCAGCGAGGUGCCCAUUGCCACUCCCAAUCGGGCUAAAGGCUUGCCAUUGUUCCUGCACGGCUGAGUGCGUGUGUUCAUCCUAAUCAAGCUGAACACUAGUCACUGGAUUCCACAGUUCUCUUCCAUGACCUGCGGCUUCUGAUAGAGCUAUAACACUCACCGCAUGGCCCAAGAUUCCAUUCCUUGGAAUCCGUGAGGCCAAGAACCCCAGGUCAGAGAAUACAAGGCUUGCCACCAUCUUGGAAGCGGCCCGUCGCCAUCUUGGAAGCGGCUUGCCACCAUCUUGGGAGCUCUGUGCGCAAGGACCCCCCAGUAACACCACCACACCCGGCUAAUUUUUGUAUUUUUAGUAGAGACAGUUUUCACCAUGUUGGCCAGGCUGGUCUUGAACUCCUGACCUCAGGUGACCCACAUGCCUCGGUCUCCCAAAGUGCUGGGAUUACAAACAUGAGCCACAGUGUCCAGUCCUCUGUUUUAUUUUUAACUGAAAAGUCUGAAACUUAUUGCUUGCUGUCUCCCAAACAGAAUGCAAGCUCAGUGGGGCAGGUACUUUGUUUAUCUUUUUCACUGAUGUAUCUCCAGCACCUAGCAUAUGGUAAAUGUUCAUUAAAUUUGUUAAAUUAAUGCAGAAAUGAAAAGCAGAAAUUGGACCUCUUCUUACAGUUCUAUACUUUAUCCCUAGAAUUUCUGAGAAGUCAGUUUGAUCAUGCAAUGUAUUCAGUUUGUAAAUUUAUAUUUUUAUUUAUCUAUUUAUUUUCGAAUAAACCUUUUGCAGUCUUAUCAGUUUGUGAAUUCCUAAGCCAACUGACCACAAGUCUAAUACUGACAAAUCAUGGGCCAGAUUUGGUCCUCACAUCUAUCUGUUUGAUGUAGCAGGUACGUUGGAGCCUCCUUUCCAUUUCUUUGGCCCACUCCUAUUUCAGCUGCAGCUGCAGUGAGAGUUCCCUAGGAGCUCAGGCUCACCUCAUUGACAGGAUCACACCUCAGGCAGCUAAAGAAUUAUUCCAUUUUUCUGCCUUGGGCCUCUCUUAUGCCCUAGAGCCAUUGGGCAUGUGUGUGGACCACUUCCGGACCAUGUUUAUGUUCCCCAGUGCAAAUAUCAGCCAUCAGCCAACAUGGGAACCACCUUCAUCCACACUUCCUUCAAAUGGAAAGCUCUGGAAGACAUUUACACUUCCCAGUAGUCCCAGCAGAACUGAUGCGCUCUUCCCUUCAGCAGAGACUUGAAUAACACCUUCUUGUACUGACUUCUCCUGUGUCAUACUCCCUGUUCCUUUACUUAUGUUUUCUGGGAUUACCUCGCCACUACACACAAUCUGCAGCCAAGUCUUUGUCUCAACCUCUGCUUUCAGGGGAAGCCAAAUUAGGCCUAUGAGUUACAUCAUUAAAAAAAUUUGUAAAAUAAUUGUUCAAAUUUAAGCUUGAAAUAUUUCAAGUUAAAUUCUGAGUUCUUAACUUCCUACUUUAAGGUGCUGCAUGUAACUUCACAUACAAUAAUUUUUAUGGUUCUUAUUUGGUAAGGAAAAUUAUUGUCCAUUAGCUUGUUUUCAAAACUUCAACCUUUCAGGUGUUCAUAGGUCAUUUCAAGUGUUUUGUGAGGAAAAUGGUCUCAAAAUCUCUAGUCUGUUAGGAAUGAGAAGAGAUGGGGAAUUCUUUUUACUAUAGAAUGUAGCAGGAAAAAAAUUUAAGGAGUUUUUUGCUUCAUUAGAUUUGCUGUGGAAUGAGAAAUCAAUAAAUUAAUGACUACAGUGCUAAAAUAAA